rnacentral:rRNA from 1 species
UACAGAGGGGGCAAGCGUUGUUCGGAAUUACUGGGCGUAAAGGGCGCGUAGGCGGCCUGCUAAGUCGAACGUGAAAUCCCUGGGCUCAACCCAGGAACUGCGUCCGAUACUGGUUGGCUUGAAUCCGGGAGAGGGAUGUGUAAUUCCAGGUGUAGCGGUGAAAUGCGUAGAUAUCUGGAGGAACACCGGUGGCGAAGGCGACAUCCUGGACCGGUAUUGACGCUGAGGCGCGAAAGCCAGGGAGCAAACGGG